rnacentral:rRNA from 1 species
GAUGAACGCUGGCGGCGUGCCUAAUACAUGCGAGUCGAGCGCACAAACUAGGUGCUUGCACCUCUCACGUUAGCGGCGGACGGGUGAGUAACACGUGGAUAACCUGCCUCUAAGCCUGGGAUAACUUCGGGAAACCAUAGCUAAUACCGCAUAAUAUAUUAAACCGCAUGGUUCAAUAGUGAAAGACGCUUUUGCUUUCACUUAUAGAUGACUCCGCUCCUCAUUAGCUAGUUGGUAAGGUACCGCCUUACCAAGGGAACGAACCGAAGCGGACCGGAGAGGGGAACCGGCCAAAUGGGAACUGGGACACGGUCCAGACUCCUACGGGAGGCAGAAGAAGGGAAUCUUGCGAAAGGGGCGAAAGCCUGACGGGGCAACGCGGCGGGAUUGAGGAAGGUCUUCGGAUGGUAAACCUCGGUUAAAAGGGAAGACGAAAGGUGGAAGUAACAAUGCACGUCGUGACGGUACCUAACCAGAAAGCGACGGCUAACUACGUG